UGUUUUUCAGAUGGGCUGUGGGAGGGAGCUGCUUUCUAAUUCAUCAGGUCCUAAAGGGACUUUCACGUGAGAGAACUAAUCCAAACUCAGUGAUGGUGCAAGGGUACUUCUUACCUCUAGGGACAGUCUCGGGUAUGUCUUCAUCAGCAGCAUGAAAAAGGACUAAUACACCCAGCUACAAACUAUCCCUUAAGCUAAAUAUGACUGGCUUGAAUGGAGCAACUGUAGAAGUAAUCAGAAUCCCCAAGUGAGUGGAACAAGUCAGUUCUAAAAGGGAGAAAAACCUUGGGAAUGCUGGAAACAGACAGCUCAAUGGGCAUAUUCAGAAGAAAACAAUAGAUACCAGUCUUUUCCAAAGUGUGGUGUGAAGAGUACUGCUCCUGUAAAUUUAACGAAAUUUUCCAUGGGCAAGAAAAAAGUACUUUAUCUUCUAGGAACUCCUGAGAACUGAGAAAUGACUGUUUAAUGAACAAAGAGAGAAGUGACAAUGAGACUGCCCUGUCCAGAGACUCCCAAAUAAAGAAGGAGUGGGAAAGUGGAAUUAGCAAAGCUCUUGUAAUCAUAGCAACUCAUUUGAGAAGAGCUUUGGCAAUUAUCAAAGCAAUCCUUCCUGCAUUAAGAAGAAACUGUUUCCUGGAUGUCACUCGAGUGACUUUCUGGCAAGCCCCAAGUCAACCUAUUG
rnacentral:lncRNA from 1 species